GAUGAAGAACGCAGCGAAAUGCGAUAAGUAGUGUGAAUUGCAGAAUUCAGUGAAUCAUCGAAUCUUUGAACGCACAUUGCACCCCUUGGUAUUCCAUGGGGCAUGCCUGUUCGAGCGUCAUUUGUAACCUCAAGCUAUGCUUGGUAUUGGGCGAUUCUUGUCCGGCUCCCAUGCCUGGACUCGCCUCAAAGCGAUUGGCAGCCGGCGUAUUGAUUUCGGAGCGCAGUACAUCUCGCGCUUUGCACUCAUAACGACGACGUCCAAAAGUACAUUUUUACACUCUUGACCUCGGAUCAGGUAGGGAUACCCGCUGAACUUAAGCAUAUCAAUAAGCGGAGGA
rnacentral:misc_RNA from 1 species